rnacentral:rRNA from 1 species
UACGUAGGGUGCAAGCGUUGUCCGGAAUUAUUGGGCGUAAAGAGCUCGUAGGCGGUUUGUCGCGUCGGCUGUGAAAACUCGGGGCUCAACCCCGAGCCUGCAGUCGAUACGGGCAGACUAGAGUGCUGUAGGGGAGACUGGAAUUCCUGGUGUAGCGGUGAAAUGCGCAGAUAUCAGGAGGAACACCGGUGGCGAAGGCGGGUCUCUGGGCAGUAACUGACGCUGAGGAGCGAAAGCGUGGGGAGCGAACGGG